ensembl:lncRNA
AUGAAGGCUGAGCAAACACUGGGGAAGCUAUGGCUGGAGUUUGUGCACCAGGAUGAGGGCCAGACAAGUGGACAAAUGCGGCCGCUACAACUCUACAGCAUGGAGAAGCCCGGCAUGAAGGUUAAUAAAGCUUCUGCACAGAGCAUUCCCCAAGCUCCGUACCUGUCCCAGGCUGAGUUCUCCACGGUCUGCCUUCUCCACAACAGUGUCAGCUCCCUGACGGCCGGGGUCACAGUUCUCCACCCUUAUUUCCCAGAGCUGCACCAGUCCAAGGCACAUGCUCAGAUGGUUUCCUGUAAUCAGACAAUCUAUCAGGCUGUUUCAGAAAUUACUCCUCUUUCAAGAAGCCUACCCAGAUGGACUGGCAGGUAAGCACUUCUUUAUCCCAAGGUGACAUCUUAGGCCUUACCACUCGACUCCCUCUAUACCUCAAGGUACAAAGGCUUAGUACCUUGUCUUAAAGACAAUAAAAUGGGACAUAUGAUGAAUUAAAGGAUUGUUCUACAUAGGCCAUCUAGUUAUCUGUCCCAGGCAUGUCCAAAUAUCCAACCAAGGCUUCUGAAUGUCUUCAUUUCAGGUUCCAAGCUCUCAGCAUAUCACCCCUACCCCCUACCUAGUUGCCUUCCUCUCUUUUUCCCAACUCAUCACCCUGGAGAAUUUCUAGUUCCUUCAUCCCUCUAGAGGUGACCCCUUGGGGACUCCGCAUACUCUCAUACUACCCAGAAUACAAGCAUGUGUGGAGACCAUUUCUGCAUGAAGACUGUCCAAUCUGCCACGUAACGCCCCUCCCCAGCAUACCUCAUUCAAUGUAACUCAGCCCUUUCCUCCAUCACAUCCGUGCAUGAGUCCCCUUCACCAAGGAUCUCUCUAACCAAAUUCUUUCCUCCCCACCCUGCUCGCAGCUCUAGAUGGAUUCUGAUUUGUUCUGGGUGUGGUUCUGCCCCCCAACCACAAGCACAAUUCCUUUCCUCCAGUGGACUUCAUCCCAUCCUUGGUCAUGGACAGAAAUGGGGACAGAGCUGGAAAAUAAAGAGCUCUUGGGGAUGCGUUGAGGGGAGGGAAGCCCCAGAGCCUGAGCUCUGAGUGGCCACAUCUGGAGGAGGUGGCUGACACUGAAGGAGGCCACAGGCCAUGUUCCUAAAGACAACACUGGGUUCUCUCCGCCGGGUCAGGGGCUGCCAGGAGUUGCAGAGGGCAGUUUCAGUUUUCACAGUGCUCCAGGAAUACAAGUUCCAUCAACAGUUUCCAAAUAGCCGCCCUCUCCCAGAGCAACAUGAGACAACUGUGGGCCUGGGAGGACUUGUCCAGCACUGGGCUGGGCAGGGGUCUGCUGGAGUGAAGGGCACAGUAAAGGUUGGGGGCUGAGGGCAGGUUGAGAAGGAAGCCUCCUCAGGGGACUGGUCCACCCUCCACAGCUCUGCAGUCAUUCCAGGGGGAAGCCCAGACCCUGGGCUUAUCAGAGCUGGAAGGGAAGUUAGGGACUGCCUGUCUUGUCAGUGGUUCCUGGACCCAGGGGCACAUGAAGGCUGGGGUGUGGGUUUCUCAAGUAAUUUGCUCUAAUUCAAUGGGUUCUGAAUAUUUCCCUGACCUGAGACUGUGAUCAAGUAGCUCAGCCAUAAACAGCCUCUGCUUAUUUCUGGAAUUCUACCAACCCUGGUUGGCACACUUGCUAUCUGCGGUAGAUCUGAGUCUGCUCCAUAGGUCUUCUAUUAACAAGAAAUGGGGAAACAAAUUAAUCAUUACUUACAUGUGGUCUACUCAGUCAGCCACAUUUCCCAAAGCAUGUUCUCCAUGGCAGUGGUGGGUGUGGGGAUAGAUAACAGAAGGUGAGUUUGGUGGGUAAAGGCAGGAAACUGCCUUUCAGCCCUGCAGAGGAUCCAGCUGAGGUUCAGAAAGGAAAAGGCUUUGCAAGGUUGCACAGCAAGCUGUGAAUGGGUGUCAAAUCUGAACACAUGUCCCUGACUCCUCGACCAGGCCACCUACCCUUCUCACCUUCGGAUGGACUGCUGAGACCCCCACACAUGAGAUUUACUCUCUAUUGCUCAGGAGGACCAGUCUUUCAAACAAACUUCUUGCUUUCUCUUUUCAGAUCUUUUUUUUUCCCCUCAAAAUUUUAUUCUUUUGUGAUAUCUUUAAUAUCUUUUUAAUCCCUUUAAACAUAUCUUUAAUAUUUUCAUUCAUUUGUUUUUUUGGUUGUGCUGGGUCUUGGUUGCUGCGUGUGGGCUACUCUUUGUUGUCGUGUACUGGCUUCUCAUGUUGUGAGCACAGGCUCUAGGCAUGCAGGCUCAGUAGUUCCUGUUGCAU